CCAGACACUGCUCCAGGUGCUGAGAAUAUUAGAGUACAAAACAGAUGGAAACUCUCAUCCUCUUGAAGUCCACUCGCAGGAGAUGAGCAAGAAACACACGUGGAACAUGUAUGACAUGUAAACUGCAGUAUCUGAUAGUGUUAAGUGCUGCGAAGGAAAAGCAGGGGAAGGAGAAAGAAGGAGAUGGGAAACGUCAGUUUCAUUAAGGCGUUAGGCUUCUCCAAGGAGGGGACAUCAACCUGAACAGAGAGGAAAGAAGCCCUAUGGCUGUCAGAAGGAACAGCACGUGCAAAAGCCCUGAGGAAGAUCCCCUGGAGACAGAAAUGGCAACCCACUCCAAUAUUCUUGCCUGGAGAAUCCUAUGGACAGAGCGAGUCAGACACGACUGAAGCGACUUGGGACACACGCACAGAUAAUGACAAAGAGAAAAAGAGUAACCUUACUGUGGGCGAACUGGCGGACCCCACCUUAACCAAGUGAUCAAAGAGGACAUCAGUAGUAAUUGGGCAAAGUGAAAUUGUGUGCCCCUCCAUAAGUGAUGUAAAAGCAUCACUUCUGUGGUCUUCUUGCCUGAAGCACCUGAUCUAUUCAUAAGGAAAGAUCAAAAAGAUUCCAAAUAAAGGGACAAUUAGCCUAUACAGAUUCAAAAAUGUCAAGGUCGCAAAAGUCAAAGAAAAAGGAGCUGUUCCAGAUUUUAAAAAAAGAGUAAAGAGGCACAAAAACGAAAUAGAACAUAUAUCCUGGAUUGGAUGUUGGGUCAGGAAAAAAAGUUUUUUGUUUGUUUGCUUUAAAGGGCAAGAGUGGAAUAAUUGGCAACAUUUCAAUAGGUCUAAAUGUAGAUAAUAGUUACCUACAAUGUUAAUUUCCUAAUUUUUGCAUCUGUUUUUAAGAAAAUGUACAUAAAACCAUUUAGAGAUAAAAGGGUGUCCUGUCUGCAAUUCAUCCCCAGCAGUUUAGACAAAAUAUAUGCAG
ensembl:lncRNA